rnacentral:lncRNA from 1 species
CUAAAAUAGAGGCGGCACUGGAGGAGGAGGAGGUUGGUCAUUGCCAGGACCGUGAGGCCAUUUAGGGGGUGCAUAUGAACCACCCAUAUAUGAUCUUAUCUCCAUUACCAAUCGGCGGGGUUCUUCAUAAUCAACAGUGAGUCGUUCAUAUUUAUCAUUAAGAUGGGUCGUCUGAUCAUGUACUCGUUGGUUUAACAUCACUGUGAACUUCAGAGUUUGAACGCUCGGAAUUGAUUGCGAGCAUCCAACUGUCGAAGCACUACGGGUCCUCCGCAAAUUCUCAGUUGUAAUGUUAGAGAGUCCGCACACCCGAUUUCUAUCGGGCCCACCGAACGAUCCUGCCUACAACCACAAAUCUAGAUCGAUAUCUGGAUGGAUCGAAGGAUCGUCCUCGUAUCUCUCCUUCAACAGUUUGUUAUAUGUGUCCUCGAAAA